rnacentral:misc_RNA from 1 species
GAUGAAGAACGUAGCGAAAUGCGAUAAGUAAUGUGAAUUGCAGAAUUCAGUGAAUCAUCGAAUCUUUGAACGCACCUUGCACCCUUUGGCAUUCCGAAGGGUAUGCUCGUUUGAGUGUCAUUGUACUCUCACUCUCCCGAUGCUUUUGGAUCGGGAGUGGUGGACUUGGGUGUUGCUGCUUUGCUGUGGCUCGCCUCAAAUGGAGUAGUGCAACUCUUGGUUGGACAUAGUACGGCGUGAUAAGUGUCUUCGCCGGCGCCUCAUUAUAGAGGGUGGCCGAUCGGGAGCUCUGUGCUUCAAACCGUCUUCGGACAACAUCUGACAACUUGACCUCAAAUCGAGUAGGACUACCCGCUGAACUUAAGCAUAUCAAUAGCGGAGA